UCAAGCUGUAAAGGGCGCAAGGGGAAUGCCUUGGCACUGAGAGCCGACGAAGGACGCGACAAGCUGCGAUAAGCUACGGGGAGCCGCAAAUGGGCUUUGAUCCGUAGAUUUCCGAAUGGGGAAACCCGGCAGAGCAAUACUCUGUCAACGUACACUGAAUACAUAGGUGUACGUGGGGAACCGCCUGAACUGAAACAUCUAAGUAGGGCGAGGAAGAGAAAUCAACCGAGAUUCCGCUAGUAGUGGCGAGCGAACGCGGAAGAGGCCAAACCGGAGGUAGCAAUAUUUCCGGGGUUAGGACUGCAAUAUGUAACUUUAAUCUUUAACUGAAUGCUUUGGGAAGAGCAGCGAUACAGGGUGACAGCCCCGUAAGUGAAAAGGAUUGAGUGCUAGCAGUAUCCAGAGUACCAGCGGACACGUGAAACCCGCUGGGAAGAUGGGGGGACCAUCCUCCAAGCCUAAAUACUACUCAGUGACCGAUAGUGGAGCAGUACCGUGAGGGAAAGGUGAAAAGUACCCCGGGAGGGGAGUGAAAGAGAACCUGAAACCUUGUGCCUACAAGCACCGAGAGCACGUUAAAGUGUGAUCGGGUACUUUUUGUAGAACGGUCCGGCGAGUUAAUAUUUGCAGCGAGGUUAAGUAACUGGAGUUACGGAGCCGCAGCGAGAGCGAGUCUGAAUAGGGCGUAUGAAGUUGCAGGUAUUAGACCCGAAACCGGGUGACCUAUCCAUGAGCAGGCUGAAGCGGUGGUAAGACACCGUGGAGGGCCGCACCCACGUCUGUUGAAAAAGCCGGGGAUGACUUGUGGAUAGCGGAGAAAUUCCAAUCGAACUCGGAGAUAGCUGGUUCUCCCCGAAAUAGCUUUAGGGCUAGCGUUAUUUUAGAUUACCGGAGGUAAAGCACUGAAUGGUCUAGGGGCCGCGAGGUUACCAAAGCCUAUCAAACUCUGAAUGCCGGAUAAUUGAUGAAUAGCAGUCAGACUGUGUGAGAUAAGUCUCAUAGUCAAAAGGGAAACAGCCCAGAUCUACAGCUAAGGUCCCAAAUGAACACUAAGUGGAAAAUGAUGUGAAACUGCGAAGACAACCAGGAUGUUGGCUUAGAAGCAGCCACUCAUUCAAAGAGUGCGUAAUAGCUCACUGGUCGAGUGGUUUUGCGCAGAAAAUGUAACGGGGCUAAGUGUUCAACCGAAGCUUAGGCAUUGUACUUUGUACAUUGGGUAGGGGAGCGUCGUAUGCGGGGCGAAGUCAGAGCGGAAGCACUGGUGGACUGCAUACGAGUGAGAAUGCCGGAAUAAGUAGCGAGAAUUAUGUGAGAAUCAUAAUGGCCGAAAAUCUAAGGUUUCCUGGGGAAGGUUCGUCCGCCCAGGGUUAGUCGGGAGCUAAGCUCAGGCCGAAAGGCGUAGGCGAUGCACAUACGGUAGAAAUUCCGUAACCACCGAACUUUAAGCUAGAGGGACGCUUUCUUUAAGGUUAUCCCGGGCGAUGGUUGCCCCGGGCGUAAGGGACCGAAAUUUAGUAGGGAAGUAACUGGCGAGAGAGACGAGAAAAGCUCUAGUGUAUACUAAGGUGCCCGUACCGCAAACCGACACAGGUAGAAGGGAUGAGUAUUCUAAGGCCAACGGGAGAAGGGUUGUUAAGGAACUCGGCAAAUUGGCCCCGUAACUUCGGGAUAAGGGGCGCCUGCGAGAGCAGGCCGCAGUGAAAAGGCCCAAGCGACUGUUUAGCAAAAACACAGCUCUCUGCUAAAUCGAAAGAUGACGUAUAGGGGGUGACGCCUGCCCGGUGCUGGAAGGUUAAGGGGAGUGCUUAGCGCAAGCGAAGGUGCGAACUUAAGCCCCAGUAAACGGCGGCCGUAACUAUAACGGUCCUAAGGUAGCGAAAUUCCUUGUCAGGUAAGUUCUGACCCGC
rnacentral:rRNA from 1 species